CAUUUGUAACAACUAUAUAUAACUCCUUCAAUUAAUAUUGAUCAGGCCACAAGAAUGCUCCAAUUGCAAAACCUCUCUUCUCAUCAAGAUUACCUUUGAAACUUAAUCCAUAUUGAUUAAGAAGCACAUCCACCUUCCAUUCCUCCAUCCUCUCAUAAUCAAAUUUGGUGUAACGUGGAUAGUGAAGAGGCAUUUGAAAAUUACCAUAACAAGAAGGGAUACCCUAAAACAUGGCAAGGUGAAUAGAGAAGCCAUCUAAGUGACAUGCCUCUUAAUUUCUUUGUUCCUAUGAGAAACAAAUUAAAAUUGGAAGAGGUAAUUAAGAACUUUGCUUAAAGCAAAUAACUAUACACCACUAUAUAUAGGAGUGGAUGCGUAUGCCCUAUAUUUCGUGGAUGAAUAACAAAAAAUUGCAUAUUUCACGCGUUAAUUAAACUUUAUAUUAAUUAAGCUAUAGUUGUGAAUAACUUCAAAAUACGAUAUGUACUACAAAAUUUUGUACUAUGUGUAUAUUUGUAUUUUAUUUGUUUGGGGUGCUGUGAAAUUUAAUUCGGUUGUUAUUUUAUUUUUUAUUUUUUAUGCUGUGUAUAUACGGUUGCUUGGAGUGCAUGGAUAGGUUAAGUCUUUCUUUGAAGUGGUUUUUGGUCACAUUUUCAAUGAUAUGUCAUAAUUAUAAA